UUAUAUAUAUAUCUCCCUUACUCCAAAAUGGUUUUUCUCCUAUUUAACCACCUGGGUGUUCUGUUCAUGCAUAUAAAUCUCUGAUUUUUUUUUAAAAAUCACACUAUCCUUUGCACCUGAGAAAUCUUGUGGACAUGAGUUCCAAACACAGUUAUGAUUUAUCAGUAAUGCAACUGAUUUGGAACUUAUUAGUUAAUUAGUCAAUUAGUCAGUUAGUAUUUCUGAGUUUUAAACAUCAAUGAAUAUCCCCAGAAAGGGUAAACCCACGUUAUCUGUUUUACCUCAUUUAUUAUUUUCCAUAUUUAUGUCUCCCUCUAGCCAAUACCAUUCUUUCUGCAUUAUUAUUAUUCCUAUUUAAGAAGCAAGGGAUUUUUUGGCAAUAUCUUUUAUUGGACCAACUAUAUAGUCAAGAGAUAUCGGAGACAAGCUAUUUUGGCACACAGUACCAUUCUUUAGAAAAAAAUGACCAGAACCCUACACAGAAUUCCAGGCAAGGGCACAGCAUAAAUUCAAAAAAUGUCAUUUCAGUAUUUUUAAGAUUUAAAAAAAUCUCAUUAAUUAAUAUUCUAUUGACUUUUGUACCAUGUGUAUAUUUUGAACAGAGCUGUUAAUUUAACUGUUCACAAUGUUGCCUCAGUUUUCCCCUAAUUUUAAUCAAUUUCAAAUACAGCUGCAAAAACAAUUAAUUCACAUUCUUCCUGCUGAUGUGUAUUAGGUUUCAGUUGUCAGUACUACAUUUCUUCUGUCAUUGUGCUGCUCAUUUAUACUUGUUAGGUCCCUCCAUUUUCUCACAAUUGUCUAGCUUUUAUUAUUCUAAAUCUUUUUUUUAAUCAUUUCCAAAUAUUGUCUCCUCACACUUUAUUCAUGUUCCUCAAGAAUUAUAUUACGUUAUAAUAAUUAUAUUAAACACCACUUACCUAGUAUAGGACCCUAAGGUUAAUCUUUUGCCAUAUUGAAAGUUCAUUAUUUAUUCCCAUAUAUGGCAUGGCAGGAGACACAACUGUUGGGACUAGGGAUCAGAUCCUGUCAUGCCAUUUAAUGAAUGUGAGCCAGGGGCUUUAGGUACUGCUAAAAGUGUUCUAUAUAAGAAGUAGUGCCUGUAUAUUUGGAUGUGAAUCUCCUUAGAGUUUACAUCAAAAUGCCUUACCUCAUCUGAUAUCCAAGUCAUUAUGUAGGUCUACCUAGAUGAGUAAACUAGCAGAGGUACCUGCAUUGUUCUGAUUUAAGGAAAGGCUGCCUCAACAUUAAAUUAUGAUUGCCAUUCACUUUCCCAUUUCUGACAUCUAUACCAUAAGACAAGUAGUCCCUGUAUAUCUUCCAAGAAAGUAGUUGUAUUUUAAUUCUAUUGAUUAAAAAAUGGAUUUUCAUAUCCUAUCUAAACUUUGUUUAUUUUGCACCUGGCUGCACACUGUAUUUGUCAUAGCUUGUUUCUCUUCUCAUGGAAAAGAAUUCAAUCCAAGAUGCAAUUCCAUAUUAAUCAGCCAACUGUAUUGCCAAUUGCAUUGCAAACACCAAUUAACUAUUCUGACUGCAAAUA